AUGGAGGUGACCGCGUUGAGCAUCGGCAAGUCUGCGCUGAGCGGAGCGCUCAGCUACGCCAAAUCCGCCGAUGCGGAGGAGGUGGCCCUGCAGCUGGGAGUACAGCGCGACAAGGCCUUCAUCACCGACAAGCUGGAGAUGAUGCAGUCUUUCUUGAUGGUGGCGCAUGAUGAGCAAGGCGAGCACAACAAGGUGGUCAGGACCUGGGUGAAGCAGUGGCGCAUCCCUCGCACCGUUCUCGAUCGUCGCCAUGUCGCCAAGAAGAUGAAGGAGCUGCGUGCCAAGGUGGAGGACAUGAGCCAUAGGAACGUGCGGUACCGCCUCAUCGACCGUGGAUCAAAACCCGCUAAUUCUUCUGACCUCACAACCACCACUGCUGCCAUGUUCGGCGUUGAUGAAGCAAGAAGGCAUGCUACAAAUCAGCACCAAUCAGGAUUAAGGUUGGAUCUUGCCCAGCUGAUCUUCAGCGACAAGAAAGACUUGGGAUCAUACCAAAUUGGAGUGAUCGGAGUGUGGGGAACAAGUGGCACGGUUGGGCAUACCUCCAUCAUCUUUGAUGCUUACGAGAAUCCAAAUGUCAAAGCAGAGGGGGAGAAGAUUUGGCAUGAGUUGGCACAUGAGUACAAUGAAUGUGUCAGCAAGAAGAGGCACCUGAUCGUGCUUGCCGGACUAUCCACUAUUGAAGAAUGGCAGCAGAUCAAAGCUUGCUUCCCAGAAAACAAACAGGGGAGCCAUAUCAUAGUAUCCACAGAGCUAGCAUGUUGA
rnacentral:rRNA from 1 species